CUGAAUGGUCUUUGACCUUCUACCCUUCAAACCUGUGGAAGCGAAUAUCGUGCUUCGGCGUCCCUUUAGGGUCGCCGCUUUUAUGCAGAAACCGGUGUGUUGUCUGACUGAAAACAUAAAAAUCA
rnacentral:misc_RNA from 1 species